rnacentral:rRNA from 1 species
UACGAAGGGGGCUAGCGUUGCUCGGAAUUACUGGGCGUAAAGGGCGCGUAGGCGGUCAGACCAAGUCGCGUGUGAAAUGCCAGGGCUUAACUCUGGCACGCUCGCGCGAUACUGGUCGGCUAGAGUGUUGCAGGGGAGACUGGAAUUCCUGGUGUAGCGGUGAAAUGCGCAGAUAUCAGGAGGAGCACCGGUGGCGAAGGCGGGUCUCUGGGCAACAACUGACGCUGAGGAGCGAAAGCGUGGGGAGCGAACAGG